UACGGAGGGUGCAAGCGUUGUUCGGAAUCACUGGGCGUAAAGGGCGCGUAGGCGGCUCACUCAGUCCGAUGUGAAAGCCCGGGGCUCAACCCCGGAAGGGCAUUGGAAACUGGUGAGCUUGAGUUCGGGAGAGGAGGGCAGAAUUCCCGGUGUAGGGUUGAAAUCCGUAGAUAUCGGGAGGAAAACCGGUGGCGAAGGCGGCCCUCUGGAACGAAACUGACGCUGAGGCGCGAAAGCGUGGGGAGCAAACAGG
rnacentral:rRNA from 1 species